AGACGCGUGAGGGAGAGGUCUGUGGAUUGUAAACCUCUUUUGAUUGGGAAGAAGUUCUGACGGUACCAAUCGAAUCAGCCUCGGCUAACUCCGUGCCAGCAGCCGCGGUAAUACGGAGGAGGCAAGCGUUAUCCGGAAUUAUUGGGCGUAAAGCGUCCGUAGGUGGAUUGUCAAAUCUUCUGUCAAAGCGCGGAGCUUAACUCCGUAAAGGCAGAGGAAACUGAUAGUCUAGAGUGCGAUAGGGGCAAGGGGAAUUCCCAGUGUAGCGGUGAAAUGCGUAGAUAUUGGGAAGAACACCGGUGGCGAAAGCGCCUUGCUGGGUCUGCACUGACACUGAGGGACGAAAGCUAGGGGAGCGAAAGGGAUUAGAUACCCCUUGUAGUC
rnacentral:rRNA from 1 species